CUUUUACACUGUUUUAUUUUGUCUUUUUUAUUUAUUUUUGGUAAACUACAGCUCCUCCAUUUUGAUCGUUAGUCCCCCAACAAUUUUUUCAAGUCAGAUUUGAUGCCAUGUUCAAGGUCCUGUCUCCCUUUAUUUAUUUACAUUUCAGCUGGGGUUGUGGGAUUCAUUUGAUUGAGUAGAGGAAAAAGUGACCUUUGAGCAUGUUCAUGAAUUUUUUGGAUCUGUGAAAAUUUUUGUUUUUUUUUUGGUGUGAAUUUAUUUCGCUCACUUUUAUUUCGAUUAUGAAUAGGUGGAGUUUAGAGAGAAGUACAAGAAGGAACAUACCAGCAACAAAUCGGAGAGAGCUCCCUACCCGGCCAAGGCAGAGAAGAGAAAGGUUGAAUAGAACAACAUGGAAGUUUAUAACAAGAAACAAGUAAUUGUGUGAUAGAGUAAAAGCUUGGUCCUUUAAUGUAUCUGAUAGCUGCAAAGGUUUUUGCGUUUGUAGUAGUCAUCUUCACUUUUUCAUGGAAAGUGACAGUUCGUGCUCUUGAAGAAAAUGCUAGAGCUUCCUACAAUUUGGACACUCUUUGAACCAUAGAGCCUUCUGAGAAAGAACCGAUUCAGUGACAACUUUGAACCAUCAGAUCAGACCAGAACAAAUACAUCGAUUCAAUCUGACACAAAAGACCUUACCUAGCCACUUCUGCUCUGCAAUGUUAUGCUUUUUGUUAUGCUGUGUAACUCUUUGUGAUAAGGACCAAUCUCUAUGGUUUUUUGGUCAUGCUAACGGUGCUUAAAAAACAAUGUCAUGCUAUGUACAUAUAAGCACUGGUUGUCAGGACCAUUCUCUAUGUUUUCUGUAAUGCCUGAAAACCAAUCAACCAAAAUAGCAUACAUUUUGUACAUCUAACAAUCAAUGUACAUAAAAGCUUUUUGGCUA